AUUGAACGCUGGCGGCAGGCCUAACACAUGCAAGUCGAGCGGAUGAAGGGAGCUUGCUCCUGGAUUCAGCGGCGGACGGGUGAGUAAUGCCUAGGAAUCUGCCUGGUAGUGGGGGAUAACGUCCGGAAACGGGCGCUAAUACCGCAUACGUCCUGAGGGAGAAAGUGGGGGAUCUUCGGACCUCACGCUAUCAGAUGAGCCUAGGCCGGAGUAGCUAGUUGGUGGGGUAAAGACCUACCAAGGCGACGAUCCGUAACUGGUCUGAGAGGAUGAUCAGUCGCACGGGAAGUGAGACAGGGUCACGACUCCUACGGGAGGGCGCAGUGGGGAAUAUUGGGCAAUGGGCGAGAGCCUGAUCCAACCAGGCCGCGUGUGUGAAAAAGGUCUUCGGAUUGUAAAGCACGUUAAGUUGGGGGAAAGGGCAGUAAGUUAAGACCUUGCUGUUUUGACGGUAACAACAGAAUAAGCACCGGCUAACUUCGUG
rnacentral:rRNA from 1 species